rnacentral:rRNA from 1 species
AGUGAACGCUGGCGGUAGGCCUAACACAUGCAAGUCGAACGGCAGCACAGUAAGAGCUUGCUCUUACGGGUGGCGAGUGGCGGACGGGUGAGGAAUACAUCGGAAUCUACUUUUUCGUGGGGGAUAACGUAGGGAAACUUACGCUAAUACCGCAUACGACCUACGGGUGAAAGCAGGGGAUCUUCGGACCUUGCGCGAUUGAAUGAGCCGAUGUCGGAUUAGCUAGUUGGCGGGGUAAAGGCCCACCAAGGCGACGAUCCGUAGCUGGUCUGAGAGGAUGAUCAGCCACACUGGAACUGAGACACGGUCCAGACUCCUACGGGAGGAAGCAGUGGGGAAUAUUGGACAAUGGGGGAAAGCCUGAUCCAGCCAUACCGCGUGGGUGAAGAAGGCCUUCGGGUUGUAAAGCCCUUUUGUUGGGAAAGAAAAGCAGCAGGUUAAUACCCCGCUGUUCUGACGGUACCCAAAGAAUAAGCACCGGCUAACUUCGUG